CCUACGGGAGGCAGCAGUGGGGAAUAUUGCACAAUGGGCGCAAGCCUGAUGCAGCGACGCCGCGUGAGGGAUGACGGCCUUCGGGUUGUAAACCUCUUUCAGUAGGGAAGAAGCGAAAGUGACGGUACCUGCAGAAGAAGCGCCGGCUAACUACGUGCCAGCAGCCGCGGUAAUACGUAGGGCGCAAGCGUUAUCCGGAAUUAUUGGGCGUAAAGAGCUCGUAGGCGGUUUGUCGCGUCUGCCGUGAAAGUCCGGGGCUCAACUCCGGAUCUGCGGUGGGUACGGGCAGACUAGAGUGAUGUAGGGGAGACUGGAAUUCCUGGUGUAGCGGUGAAAUGCGCAGAUAUCAGGAGGAACACCGAUGGCGAAGGCAGGUCUCUGGGCAUUAACUGACGCUGAGGAGCGAAAGCAUGGGGAGCGAACAGGAUUAGAUACCCUGGUAGUCCAUGCCGUAAACGUUGGGCACUAGGUGUGGGGGACAUUCCACGUUUUCCGCGCCGUAGCUAACGCAUUAAGUGCCCCGCCUGGGGAGGUACGGCGCGAGACAACUACGAAGAAGUAGACGCGNGAGACGNGCGACGGACGACGACGAGGGAGAGG
rnacentral:rRNA from 1 species